rnacentral:misc_RNA from 1 species
CAGAGUUAGCAAACUCACCAAAACCAUCGCGAACGUUACCCGUACCGUUGCCUCGGCGGGCGGCUCCGUCCCGGAGCCGCGGCCCCCUCACCGGGGCGGCCCGCCGGAGGUCAGCCGGAGAAAGAAACUCUUUUUGUCCUCUAGGGCCUCUCUGAGUAAUUUUGUACUAAACAAGUCA